CGAGAGUCAGCUAAUCCCAUAAAACGUUUCGUAGUCCGGAUCGCAGUCUGCAACUCGACUGCGUGAAGUCGGAAUCGCUAGUAAUCGCAGGUCAGAAUACUGCGGUGAAUACGUUCCCGGGCCUUGUACACACCGCCCGUCACACCAUGGAAGCUAGCCACACCCAAAGUCGUUACCUUAACCGUUUGGAGGGGGGCGCCUAAGGUAGGGUUAGUGACUGGGGUGAAGUCGUAACAAGGUAGCCGUACUGAAGGUGCGGCUGGAUCACC
rnacentral:rRNA from 1 species